rnacentral:rRNA from 1 species
ACUACGGGUGGCAGCAGUGGGGAAUAUUGGACAAUGGGGGAAACCCUGAUGCAGCGAUGCCGCGUGAGUGAAGAAGUACUUCGUUUUGUAAAGCUCUAUCAGCAGGGAAGAAAAUGAUGGUAGUAGAGUAAGAAGACACGGCUAAAUACGUGCAAGCAGCCGCGGUAAUACUGAGGGGGCGAGCGUUAUUCGGAUUAACUGGUUGUAACGGGAGUGUAGAAGGCAGGGCAAGAAUGGAGUGAAAGGCAGGGGUUCAACCCCCGGACUGCUUUGGUCACUGAAAGCAUGGAGUGCAAGAGAGGUAAGUGGAAGUCCUAGUGUAGCGGUGAAAUGCGUAGAUAUUAGGAGGAACACCAGUGGCGAAGGCGGCUUACUGGACUAUAACUGACGUUGAGGCUCGAAAGCGUGGGGAGCAAACAGGAUUAGAUACCCCUGUAGUC